ACAAAUAGCGUCAAACUAAUUUAAAGGAAACCAAAUUCAUUACAGUCAAUUCCGGUUACUUUAAUCGAUCAUUUUACACAGUUUUUGUUAAUUUUUGAUACAAAAACAGAAAAUAUUGCAAUUUUUAUUGCAAAUAUCCAAUUAGAUUUGAAACUGAGGACUCCGUCAAUCAAAUGUGACAAUAAAUGAGUCAUACUUCCUUCUAUAAAAUUUAACGAUAAAGGAGUGAUACAUCCUUCUACAAAAUGUAACGAUGAAGAAAAUGAGAAAUAUUUCCUUCUACAAAAUGUCACGAUAAAGUAGUGAUACUUCCUU